rnacentral:rRNA from 1 species
AUUGAACGCUGGCGGCAGGCCUAACACAUGCAAGUCGAACGAGUGGCGGACGGGUGAGUAAUGUCUGGGAAACUGCCUGAUGGAGGGGGAUAAAUACUGGAAACGGUAGCUAAUACCGCAUACCAUCGGAUGUGCCCAGAUGGGAUUAGCUAGUAGGUGGGGUAAAGGCUCACCUAGGCGACGAUCCCUAGCUGGUCUGAGAGGAGGACCAGCCAAACUUGAACUGAAACACGGUCCCGACUCCGACGGGAGGCAGCAGUGGGGAAGAUUGCACAAUGGGCGCAAGCCUGAUGCAGCCAUGCCGCGUGUAUGAAGAAGGCCUGCGGGUUGUAAAGUACUUUCAGCGGGGAGGCGUUACCCGCAGAAGAAGCACCGGCUAACUCCGUGCCAGCAGCAGCGGUAAUAC